rnacentral:rRNA from 1 species
GCCAGCUCGUCCUCCGGGAUGUGGGGACGACUCGUUGGGACCGCCGCUGCUAAAGAGGAGGAAGGAAUGGGCAACGGUAGGUCAGCAUGCCCCGAAUUAUCUGGGCUACACGCGGGCUACAAUGGGUGGGACAAUGGGUAUCGACACCGAAAGGUGAAGGCCAAUCUCCUAAACCCAUCCGUAGUUCGGAUUGUGGGCUGCAACUCGCCCACAUGAAGCUGGAAUCUGUAGUAAUCGUGUCUCAAAAUGGCACGGUGAAUAUGUCCCUGCUCCUU